rnacentral:rRNA from 1 species
CGCAUCUGUGCAUGCAGCAUAUCAAUAAGCGAGGAAAAGAAACUAACAAGGAUUCCCCUAGUAACGGCGAGUGAAGCGGGAAGAGCUCAAAUUUGAAAUCUUAAAGGGUUUCCCUUUACGAAUUGUAGUUUAAAGAAGUGUUUUCUGUUGAGGUUUUGGUAAGAGUUCUUUGGAAUAGGACAUCAUAGAGGGUGAGAAUCCCGUAUUUGACCUUUACUUUCAACUUUGUGAUACACUUUCAAAGAGUCGGAUUGUUUGGGAAUGCAGUCCAAAAUGGGUGGUAAAUUUCAUCUAAAGCUAAAUAUUGGCGAGAGACCGAUAGCGAACAAGUACCGUGAGGGAAAGAUGAAAAGAACUUUGAAAAGAGAGUUAAACAGUACGUGAAAUUGUCAAAAGGGAAGCGUUUGACACCAGUGUUGUUUUUCUGAAAAUCAAUUAAAGAACUGUUUAUGCUAAGCUGUUUAGACUUUAUCAGCUAACUGUUUAGUUUUGAGCUUUUCUUUAAUGCACUUUUCAGUUAACAAGUCAACAUCAAUUUCUUUUGCUGUAAAAAAGCUUGAGGAAGGUGGCUUGAGAUUCGUCUUAAGUGUUUAUAGCCUCUUGCCUAUGCAGUCGGAGAGAUUGAGGUCUGCAGCGUAGAUCCUUCGGGGCUAAAUGCAUUUGUGCUAAGUUAUAGCAUUUUAUAGACAACUUGUUGACUAUGAUUUGUCUUGUAGCUUACUCGCUUAUGUUAUUUUACCUACGCUUAGGAUGUUGAAUCUGUGCGAGACUAC